ACACACAGAGCUAGAUUCCUCUGCAACUCCUCAAGUUCUCCUCUCUACUACUCUAGCCUCUUGAACAAAGAAUCCAAAUUCCACAAAACCUUGGCCCUUGACUCAACCCUCAAAAACUGAAGUCAGGCCCCAGUGAGUCCCCAGGCUUAGGGGAUUCCCCUCCCUGGCUCUGCCUUGCUGAGCCCCCCACCCGCACCCCAUUCCCCAGUCUGGACUUGGCAAUGGAUGGCUUCACGACCAUCCACACACCUUGGCCGAGCCAGCUCAUGCUCCAGCACACAGGGGCACGUGAUGUGGCUCCAAGCGAUUUCCCAGGACGCGCUGGACCACCAGGACAAGGCAUUCCGUUUUCUUUUGUUUUCAUCCCCAUGGACCUGCCAUUGGCUCUGCUCAACACACCCUGCCUACUUGUCUUCCUGACGUAAAGUCAGCUGUCAGCACUUGAGCACUGACCAUUAGCCGGGCCCUGUUCUAAGAGCUUUACAUAUUUUCAUUUAUUCAAUCCUCACAAGAAGCCCAGGAGGAAAGUCCCAUUAAUUGUACCCAUUGUUCCGAUGAGGGAACUGUAGCUGAGGGAGGUUAAGGAGUAAUGCAUUUAUUUCCACCCAUCUUUCAAGUUUCACUUUGGGCCCCGCCUUCCUGGGGCCUUCCCUUCUCCUCUCAUUGCCCCCAGCCUAGAGCCACUGCCCCCCUGGAAUGAUUUCUGUUGAGGCUGUUACUUCAGCCCCGAGGCACUGAUGUUUGCCCUUGUCCAGUGCGGAGGGCCCUGUGAGAGCUGUGGGCGGGCCUGGGUCUGAGUCAUCACCCUGCCUCACUGCCCAGCGCUGAGCCUGGCAAGCUGGCUGGGCAGGUAACUCUUUGCUGCCUGGAGAUGUUGGCCAGAGGAAGGUCGGUCAGGGCCCUUGUCCCAUUCCCCGGUCGCUUCCCUCCUCUCCUCCUCCUCUCUACAUCUAUCCCAGUCCAGCCCUGUCCCCACCUUUCCUACCAGAUCCCAGGGGAAAGUGGCAAGCUCCUGCCGAGCUCUCAGGUUUUGUUCAAUUGUGUGAGAAUCAGCAGAGAGAUUGAAACCUUUUUUUUUUUCCUUCCUUUUUUCCAGACCUGGGUUGAAUUUGCUUUCUGGCGGCUUAUAGUAGUCUCAAGCACAGGCACUAAUCCUUUUGCAUAAAUAACGUGUGUGCUCACUCCCAGAGGAAGCUGUCCACAUAAACAAACACUACCCAGAUAUAAGUUUAACUUGUUUAAUCUUCCUUCUCUUUCCGUCCUCAGCACAACCAGGCUUUCCAAAGUCCAGGCCAAACCCUGGUUCUCUGGCCCAGAAAGGCUGGGCUUUAACUUCCCACCCCCAAUUCAGCCAGAGGCUGGCAAGACCCUCCUCACCCAAGCAGUUCAGUUUCACGGGCGUCCCACUGGAAAGAAAAAAAAAAAAAAAAAUCAGACCUUCAGCUGCCACUGCAGACACGUGAUCGCUUGGUGACUCACAGGCGGGCCACACCCCUCAGGCCUCCCAGCCAGGACCUGCUACCAGUCAGCCAACUCGGGGAUGCAUCUUAUUAGCAAAGGGAACAGCUAGCUAAACUAAUGCCCUUGACAGUCUAAAUUACUUUCAGCUAAAAGAACUUCCUAUUAAAACAUAUAGGGAGACAAGCUCUUCAGAACUCAGGCUCUGCCAGCCCUCUAAACCCUACCACCCAACUCUCUUAAGACCUGGGCAAUGCCUGACAGUGGUGGGAAGCUAGAAAGCUCUAUAGAUAUCCCCAUUUUAAAAAAGGAAGCUAUCUUACACAUUACCUUUUUUUUUUUCCCAAAAGUUUUAUUGGGGGAAAACUAAAAAACAUUUACAGUACAAUGUUUACAGUCACAAUUUGUAGUGAACUGAUUCCCCAAAUAUAUUACAACUCAAGUUGACUUAACCUUGUUACAUUCAAAAUACCUACUUCUGUCAAAGUAGUCCACAAUACAUACAUACAUAGUGCUCCAACUGUACCUACGUACAAACAAACUAAAGCUACUGCUCAUUCAGCCGCUGUCCAGAAAAGCAUUCCUGCCUUUCCACACGGGGAAAAAAAAAUAGUACAAGUUUUGGAAUUUUCUGUAAUUAAACAAGGCAUAUUCAUGUACUACAUACCAUUUUAGCACUAAGAGGUGGCCUCUUCACUUUAUAUCUAUAUAAAAAAAAGUGGUAAAAAUCUUCUCCUUUU
ensembl:lncRNA